GACGAACGCUGGCGGCGUGCUUAACACAUGCAAGUCGAACGGAAAGGCCCUGCUUUUGUGGGGUGCUCGAGUGGCGAACGGGUGAGUAACACGUGAGUAACCUGCCCUUGACUUUGGGAUAACUUCAGGAAACUGGGGCUAAUACCGGAUAUGAGCUCCUGCUGCAUGGUGGGGGUUGGAAAGUUUCGGCGGUUGGGGAUGGACUCGCGGCUUAUCAGCUUGUUGGUGGGGUAGUGGCUUACCAAGGCUUUGACGGGUAGCCGGCCUGAGAGGGUGACCGGCCACAUUGGGACUGAGAUACGGCCCAGACUCGUACGGGAGGCAGCAGUGGGGAAUAUUGCAGAAUGGGCGGAAGCCUGAUGCAGCAACGCCGCGUGCGGGAUGACGGCCUUCGGGUUGUAAACCGCUUUCGCCUGUGACGAAGCGUGAGUGACGGUAAUGGGUAAAGAAGCACCGGCUAACUACGUG
rnacentral:rRNA from 1 species